rnacentral:rRNA from 1 species
UAGGGAAUCUUCCGCAAUGGACGCAAGUCUGACGGAGCAACGCCGCGUGAGUGAAGAAGGAUUUCGGUUCGUAAAACUCUGUUGUUAGAGAAGAACAGCGCAUAGAGUAACUGUUAUGCGUGUGACGGUAUCUAACCAGAAAGCCACGGCUAACUACGUGCCAGCAGCCGCGGUAAUACGUAGGUGGCAAGCGUUGUCCGGAUUUAUUGGGCGUAAAGCGAGCGCAGGCGGUCAAUUAAGUCUGAUGUGAAAGCCCCCGGCUCAACCGGGGAGGGGCAUUGGAAACUGGUUGACUUGAGUGCAGAAGAGGAGAGUGGAAUUCCAUGUGUAGCGGUGAAAUGCGUAGAUAUAUGGAGGAACACCAGUGGCGAAGGCGACUCUCUGGUCUGUAACUGACGCUGAGGUUCGAAAGCGUGGGUAGCAAACAGG